rnacentral:lncRNA from 1 species
UCAUCUGGGUGGAUCUUCACUUUCCAUUCUGUAUAUUCAUCUGGCACCUGCCUCAAAGCUGCAGAAGUAAUGCAGUAAGAAAUAGCAACUACCACCCAUAAAACUGCACCAUAUAUUUUUUUAAAUUAUUUAUUUACUUGAGGGAGAGCAAGAGAGAGAACUAGCACAAUCAGGAGAAGUGGCAGAGGGAGAUGGAAGAGCAGGCUCCCCACUGAGGAGGGAGCCUGAUGUGAGGCUUAAUCCUGGGACCUUGGCAUCAUGACCUGAACCAAAGGUAGAUGCUUGACUGACUGAGUCACCCAGGUGCCCCAAGACUGCACCAUAUUUUUCCUAAUAUUCCACAACUAAAUAUUUUGCUCAGAAACAUGUAAUGUUUCAAACAUGAUGAAAAUAACCAAACGGAUAUCAAAAUACUCAUAGCCCAGAUUUAUUAGAAGUUAACAAUCUGCAAUUUUACUUCAAGCUUUCUUCAUUUUUGCUUGUUUUUUAAAUAAGGUAUUACAGAAUACAGUUAAACCUGACGUCUCAUCCCUUUCCCCUUGCCCUUCUCUCCUGAGGUAGUUACUCUUCUGAAAUUGGUACCUUUCCAGAUGUAUUUUAACCAUUUUCUAUAAAUAUAUUUUUACCCACAAACGAUACAUAGUAUUUCUUCAGUGUAUCUUUUUUAUGACCCCUCUCUGAGGUAUAUUUUGAUUCCUUUUGACAAGAUGCCGCUGAAUAGCUGUCAAAAAAAAAAAAAAUCAGUCUAAAGAACUGGAGAUCAUGCCCUCAUUUGUGGAGUUGAGUAUACUCGGGAAUGACACAGCCACCAUGAAGUAGGUUCAGGUGGCAACAUGGAUUAUGGAAGAGCAGAAUGUUUCUGGAACUAUUAUCUUUUUUCAUCUCUGUAUCAUUUAAAUGAAAAUACAGCUAAUGAAGGCUUGAAUUUUUGGAAAUUGGAAACCAGAAAGUAAAAUUAAUCACAAUGUUCCUUUCCUUCAUCAUACCAGAUCAAAUAGAUUAUAAUGGAAUAAAUUUUUAAACCUUUUUUAUAUUUGAAGAAUUAAAGCUUAAUUUUCAGUUUUGGAAGUAUAUAUCUGAUCUAAUAUUCAGGUAAGCACGGUGGUACAGUAGAAAGAGCCAUGAGGUAGGAAUCAGAAGACUUGGGUUUAAGCCCCAAAUUAGCACAUGAACUUGGAAAGCCAUUUAAUAUCUGGUAACAUCAGUCCUCUUCUAUCAUUAUUAUCCCUAGCUACCUUGCAGGAAAUAAGUGAGAUAUAGUAAGUUUUUUUUUAACAAUUUUUUA